UAGAGGAGAUCCAGCGGAUCAUAGAGAGACUGUUGAGGGACCAACAGUCCAAGAUCGACCUGGUGCCAGACAGCAGGACUGUACAUACUCUGCCCAGUGACGUUGAUCAACAGACAGACCCAUUCUUUGGAGUGGUGGAUUAUGAUCUGCCUAGCCCGAGUUCAUAUUUUCAGUUGUCUCAGGUGUUCUCCGCAGAGUCUCCAGAACCUGCUGGAUUCACGCUCAGCGACGGCUUUACUGCGCCUCCAGAAUCCAUCACUCUGAGAGAGCAAGAGCCACUCAUAAUCUCUCA